CUCCCUGCAGGGAGCCUGAUGCAAGACUCGAUCCCAGGACCCUGGGAUCAUGACCUGAGCCAAAGGCUCAACCAAUGAGCCACCCAGGUGCACCUGGACAAAAAGUUUUUUAUUCAGAGCUUCCCAGGGACGGUAUCCAAUAACUCCCUUUUUAAAGUAUAUGAAUAGCCACCAUAUCCUAGAAGGUUCAGGAAAAGAUAUUUGGCUUCCAGAAUUGUUUCAUACUCAUCCCAACUCAUCCCAAGUUGUGGGGUUGUAUUCUCAAUCUCUAUUCACUGAUUCCUCAGACAUAAUGCUCUCAGGUUAAACUCAAAAUAUGCAUUUUUUGUUUGUUUAAUAUAGUUGAUUUCUGCUUUUCUUGUUUCUAAAAGGUUCUGAGGCAAUUAGUAACAAGGACAACAAGGCUGAUAAAAUGGAAAUAGAAAGUCAGUAUACAGAAAAAUAAGUGGAAAUAAUGUACUAAUGUACUAAUGAUAGGAUGGUACCAGCCUAGGUACAAGACCCAAACUCAAGUGCACAUUUCCUGGAAUCAAGGGAUAAAAAACAAGCAGUAUAUACUACACCCCUCAUGAUCAGGAAGAAGGAAGUAUACCAGUUUCCUAAUAGAGUCAAAAAUCUUCUGGCCAUAAAUUCCAAAAUAAAUUCUCCAAGCAGAGAUUAAGGAGUAAAGUGUGACAUUGUGAAUAAAUGGAUUAAUGCUAGUACUUUCCUCCUUAGGGAUAUGCAAAGACUAAGUUAAGCAAAACAUGCUAAGCCCUUAGAAUUGUCAGUGGCACAUAGUAAACUCAAACAUUAACUGUGGUCCUCAACAUGAUUAUAUAAAAGUUAUAUACAAAUUACACGGUAAAGAACCAUUGAUAAUAUUCACAGUAACUAUGGCAAAUGCAGAAGUGGAUUCUAUUUAGUUGUUCUUGAAACAGCCCUAGCCAAGAGCAUGACAUUACACAAUUCAGUGAAGGUGGUUGACACAAACCACAGCUAAUGUAGUCCAAGUGUGGGGCUGUCUGGUGUCCUCAUUGGAUCAAAGGACAAAGCAGAGGGGAGCUAUAGAAGUGGCUGGAUUGUAUACCUUCUAGACCAGUAAUACUUGGACAUGAUUCUUAGUCAUCUGGUAAGUCCUUAGGAUCCUUUAAAUGAGCAGGGAAUGAAUAAAAAAACCCCAAGUUCUUAUAGGCAAAUGGCAGGCAAUUCCAUAGACUUAUAGUAAAUUGCUUACUAAUAUCUAGUAGGUGUAUUAUUGAGGGUUACUAAAAUUUGGUACUCAAAAAAACUCACAUUAAUACUAUACUAGAAUUUCUUGAGGAUUCUAAUUCAGCAUUUUACCAAUAAGUCUGGUUCCUCCACAGUUACUGCAAAGCCCAGAGAGUGAGAUGGCUUGUUAUCUGUUUAUCAUUAGCAGUAUCCCAAGUUUACUGGGAUAGCAAUUAAAUGGCAACUGUUAUUGUUAUUUAAAGUAUUAACAAAUUUUUCUGAGGGGUGCUUGGUUAAUCCUACAAUGUGUUAUGAUUUAUAUUUGCAUCAAAAUAUUGCUAAAGUUAACGCCUUUAUGAUUGCCUCAAAAUGUGCUUGUGUUAUCCGUAUGGUUCUUUUUCUGUUGGAGUAGCUUUCUCUGACUAAGUGACAGUCACAAAGGUUUGAGAGCUACUGCCUUAGAUUCUCUUGCCUGGAUGUCACACUGUCAGCUAGACUCUCACUCAUUGCAUGUUGCUCUGGAAACCAGCAAGGAUGAGGUAAGGUUGACUCCCUAAUGUAUUAUUUAUUCAAUAGAUAUUUAUUGAUCUAAUCUAAUUAAUCUAAAAUCAUUCCUUUGUAUCAAUGCUGUACUAGGAAAUGGGUGUAGAUUGGAUCAUAAAACUAACUUGGGCUCCUCGUAGGACUUACAGUCUAACAGGGAUACAAAAUUAAAAAUAUCAUACAAAUAAUUUAUUUUUUCAGGUUAUGACAGUGCCAUGAGGAAAAAGAACAAGGUGGGAUGAGAGAAAAUAAUGUUGGGAAUCUGUUUGGGGGUCUAUUAAUGUUAGGAGUGUGGAGAAACAUUUCCAAAGAAGUAGCAUUUGAUCAGAGAUUUGAAGGUAAAUCAGAGAUUUGUUGGCCAAGCAAAGAAUGAAGAACAAUUCAUUAAGAAACCAGAAAAAAAGGCCUUUGUGGAAUUCACUUAUCCCUCCUUGGGCCUCAAAUUCAUAGACGGAAAUGAUUUAUGUGGCAAGAUUAUCUUCUCAUAGUUACCACGCUGUUUCAAAACUUGUACCAUUAUUCUUCCAAAAUUUAACUUGAUAAAGCUUUCUCUGAACCAUCUUGCUUGAAAUGUAUUGUUAGGUAUUAUAUUCGAAGUUUAGAUUAAUUGUGUACAUAUUCAUAUAUGUACCUUUUGAUGAUGGUCAGACUUUGGAAUUCUCAUAAACCAGAUAAUGACUAAUAUUGUAACUUACAGUAAUUCUAGGAAUGGAGGGAUUGAGUGGAGCAUGGUAUGGGAUCAAAAUACAUAUGAUUAUGUAUUAUCAUAUGGGUUAUCAUGUAUUAUCAUAUAAUAUGGGUUAUUAGAACUAGGGCCUAAGGUCAGAAUAAAAGACUAAGUUUGAGUUAAUGUUGAGUUACCUCAGAACUGAAUUAAGAUUUAUUCAAUUUCAUAUAAGGUCAAGAAUAGCUUCAGAGCUGCCUUAGUCAAAUAACCCUCUGGGGAGACUGGAGUCAUCUGGGAACAUAGAAUUAUACAGAUCAUCAUGUACACCAGUACUAUCUUCUUAGAAAUACUUAUGUCCUCCAUUCUUGAUGAUCAAGGCAUUAUCCAUGCAUGAAGAAGCAAGACACAGAUGGUGGUGGCUGCCCCUGCUGAAGACCUGGGGUCUAGGAGAGCAUGUUGGAAGACCUGGGGUCUAGGAGAGCAUGUUGGAGUAGAAGCUGAAGCUCUCGGUCAUGGUCUUGGAGUCACUGCGAGAGGAACCGUUGGAGGUUCCACGCUGGGCAUGGAGCCCAGUUCGGGGCUUGAACUCACAACUCUGAGAUGGAGAGUUGGACGCUUAACCAACUGAGCUACCCAGGAGCUCCUGGCCUCUUUUUUUUUCUUAUUUUAAAGAAGGAAAAGUAAUUUUCUUAUUUAUUUGUAAACAACAAAAAGUAUGGACUUAAUUCUAGUUAAAAAGUAUUACAAUCAGGUAGUGCAUUAACUUGUCCAUUGUAGAACAGGGAUAAUUAAGAAUAACAUAGGAUUAUGACUCAGCAAUUUCACUUCUAGAUAUAUACCCAGGAGUAGAUACUUGUGCACCAGUGCUCAUUGCAGCACUACUCACCAUAACCAAAAGGUGGAAACAACUCAAAUGGCCCUCAGAAGUUGAAUAAAUAAACCAAAUGUGGUAUACACUUAACGUUGGAAUAUUAUUCAUCCACAAAACAGGAAUGAAGUUCUGAUACCUGGGACAACAUGGAUGAACCUUGUAAACGUUAUGUUAAGUGAAUAAGCCAGACAUAAGAGGACAAAUGUUGUAUAAUUCCACUUAUAUGAAAUAUCUAGAGUAAUCAAAUUCAUAGAGAUAGAAAGUGGAAUAAAGGUUGCCAGGGGCUGAGGAGAGGGAAUAGGAUAAUAAGUACAGAAUCUAGGAUGAUGGAAAAGUUCUGAGAAUGGAUCUUGGUAAUGGUUGUGACAACACUGUGAAUGUAUAAUGGUACAUUUUCUCUUAUAUGUAUUUUAUUGCAAUAAAUUUAUUUUAAAAAUUC